GAUCAUGGCUCAGGAUGAACGCUGGCGGCGUGCCUAACACAUGCAAGUCGAACGAAGCACUUCGAUUUCCUCGGAAUGAAAAAGUGACUGAGUGGCGGACGGGUGAGUAACAUGUAGGGAAUCUACCCUUGAGAUGGGGACAACAGUUGGAAACGACUGCUAAAACCCAAUAUGAGUAUAUUUGAGAAGGUAUACUUGAAAUCUCCGGAGCUCAAGGAUGAGCCUGCACCUGAUUAGCUAGUUGGUGGUGUAAUGGACUACCAAGGCGACGAUCAGUAGCUGGUUUGAGAGGAUGAUCAGCCACAAUGGGACUGAGACACGGCCCAUACUCCUACGGGAGGCAGCAGUAGGGAAUUUUGCGCAAUGGGGGAAACCCUGACGCAGCAACGCCGCGUGAUUGAAGAAGCCCUUCGGGGUGUAAAGAUCUGUCAGUGGGGACGAAAGAAUGACGGUACCCACAGAGGAAGCACCGGCUAACUCCGUG
rnacentral:rRNA from 1 species